CGGAGGCCCUCCCCCAGGGUCCUGAUCUUGGUGAGCAUAUUUGGUAGUUCAUCGUUGUCAGGCAUUAGGUGUCGUAACGCGCCGGUGUCGGCAGGUGGGUGGCUGGGGGCCUGCGGUACUGGUGGAGUCUCUUAAUGACGACGACUUGCCUUGUAUUUGCUAAUCAGCUCUCAGCAGGUCUCAUCAGCUCCAAGCUCCCCACCCGGCACUCGCUGCCAGACCGUGAGUCAGGAGUAGGGUCAGGGGAGCAGUUGUAGCAUCCAAAAAAGGACUGAAGUGGAAGGGAUUCGUGUCUGGCAGCGUAUCUCUACACGUUCUGGGUUUCUGUUGCUAGAUUGAGCUAGCGGCCCACUUUCUUAACCGCUUGUUGCGAGGCUGCUCUUGUAGAUCAUCCUAGCUUACUAUUUGAUUUUGAAUGGUGCUAGGUUGUGAGAAGCAGACUCGUAAGGUGUAGAGAGCGGGCUAUGGACGAUGACUGCGUCUGGACAAUCCUGCAAGCAGUGGCAGUUCGGGGCUGUACCCAGUACUGCCACGCAAGAGUCAUCGAGUGAGAUAAUUCUGCACGGCGAUUGUGAAGUGCCGACCUACUUGUCACUAGGCGUGGCGUGCGGCACUGGAGGGGAUUCGACCUAUUCGACAGAGUCGCGGUCCAAGGGUCGGGUUAUGGGUCGGGGGAAAAUUGAGAUUAAGAAGAUUGAGAAUACUACGAGCAGGCAGGUGACGUUCUCCAAGAGGCGAGGAGGGCUUCUGAAGAAAGCGCACGAGCUUGCGGUUCUGUGCGAUGCGGAAGUGGCACUUGUUAUUUUCUCCAGCACCGGGAAGCUCUUUGAGUAUGCCAGCUCAGGCAGCAUUCGAGACAUCAUCGACCGGUACAAGAAGGGCUCGGAUGGAAUGCAAAAUGGCGCCAGAAAUGAUUUCAUGGGUUGUGAAGUAGUAAAGUUACGCGAGCAAUUGGAGCAACUAAAAGCCUCUCACAGGCACAUGCUCGGUGAAGAUCUGUCGCUGCUUAAGGUGCCUGAUCUAUUGCAACUGGAGCAACAACUAGAUUUGGGUGCCUCUCGAGUUCGAGCAAGGAAAAAUCAACUUAUAUUGGAAGAGGUCGAGUCAUUGCGGAGAAAGGAGCACGAGCUGCUAAUUGCAAAUGAGGACCUCCGCCAGAAGCUUGCAGAUGCUCAAGGGAUUGCUGACGCAGUUACAGCUCGAGCGAACGUGUCUGAAAGCCCUAGGCCCUUGACGAGCGCUCUCACACGAGACAUCGUUAUGAGCUCACAGCAGCAGGAAGUCACUGUGCAUCCUCACCCCAACCUUCGAGACGCACAAAGGUCACAGACGUCUUUACAACUGGGCAUGUUCUCUUCUGAGUCAUACCUCCCAAGCUCUAGCAGGGGGCCAUCUGAGCAUCCGAUUCCCGUUGGGCCAGAAGGUUGUGCAGGUGAAUCUGCCAUGAGAUGGGAGCACCCUCACUUUCACAGUCAGAAUAGACUCCAUGCAAACAUAUCACCAAGUGUGAGAAUUUAGAACCAUUCCACGUAGAUUGGCUGAUCAUUGUCCUCUACGUGACAGUCUACACGCCGUUAUCCAUCUCAGGCUUCCUGAAGGCCCUGCUCUGAAGCAUCACUUCGGCAGUAGAUUGAUGAUUUUGGAUAGAAAUAGACUGGUCUCUACUCUCAAUUUCUGGUCAGGAGAUCACAAGGGCAUGUAAGUAAUGUGUGCGAUGUGUGGAGUGGGAACAGGGCUUCUGUGAAAUUCCUGAUUACUUUUUUAUCAAAGUGACUUCUUCCAUUGGCACGUGUAGUUUUAGGUAUUUCUCGUUCGGUAGACACCUUCAACUGGGUAGUUUUUUUGGAUGUCUUGUUGAAUUGUAGUAUAACAACUGUAGUCAGUUUCAUUAGCUUGUUCUGAAACGAUUUGAUGCUUGCAUCGAGAAACUCUUGAUCAGUUUCAGUUGGUAGCAAAAAGAUUCUCGUCACCAAUUUAUGAUCACUUGAAGGUCUUGAACAUAGGUUUUAAGCAGAAACAUAGACAGUGUUGUGGAAGUUAAAUGAGUGUAGAGUAUCCUCGGUAACGUAAGCUUUUCCAACCAUAUAUAUUCAGCUGAGAAGCACGUUAUCUGCUGGAACUCGUUAACCACUCAAUCUAUAAAUUAACCUAACACUUGUGUGUCUGAAAAGCAUCCUUCAGCUGCACUUGGAACAAAAUUGACAUGAAA